GAUGAACGCUGGCGGCGUGCCUAAUACAUGCAAGUCGAGCGAACAGACGAGGAGCUUGCUCCUCUGACGUUAGCGGCGGACGGGUGAGUAACACGUGGAUAACCUACCUAUAAGACUGGGAUAACUUCGGGAAACCGGAGCUAAUACCGGAUAAUAUAUUGAACCGCAUGGUUCAAUAGUGAAAGACGGUUUUGCUGUUACUUAUAGAUGGAUCCGCGCCGCAUUAGCUAGUUGGUAAGGUAACGGCUUACCAAGGCAACGAUGCGUAGCCGACCUGAGAGGGUGAUCGGCCACACUGGAACUGAGACACGGUCCAGACUCCUACGGGAGGCAGCAGUAGGGAAUCUUCCGCAAUGGGCGAAAGCCUGACGGAGCAACGCCGCGUGAGUGAUGAAGGUCUUCGGAUCGUAAAACUCUGUUAUUAGGGGAGAACAAAUGUGUAAGUAACUAUGCACGUCUUGACGGUACCUAAUCAGAAAGCCACGGCUAACUACGUG
rnacentral:rRNA from 1 species